AGAGUUUGAUCAUGGCUCAGAUUGAACGCUGGCGGCGUGCCUAACACAUGCAAGUCGAGCGGUAACAGGUGUAGCAAUACAUGCUGACGAGCGGCGAACGGGUGAGUAAUGCUUUGGAAUCUUCCCAGUAGUGGGGAAUAACCAGUCGAAAGAUUGGCUAAUACCGCAUACGUCUGAAAAGGGAAAGCGGGGGCUCGUAAGACCUCGCGCUAUUGGAUGAGCCAAAGUCGGAUUAGCUAGUUGGUGGGGUAAUGGCCUACCAAGGCGACAAUCCGUAGCUGGUCUGAGAGGACGACCAGCCACACCGGAACUGAGACACGGUCCGGACUCCUACGGGAGGCAGCAGUGGGGAAUAUUGGACAAUGGGGGAAACCCUGAUCCAGCGACGCCGCGUGUGUGAAGAAGGCCUGCGGGUUGUAAAGCACUUUUAGUGGGGACAAAAAGCUACGGACUAAUACUCUGUGGUCUUGAUUUAACCCAAAGAAAAAGCACCGGCUAACUCUGUGCCAGCAGCCGCGGUAAUACAGAGGGUGCGAGCGUUAAUCGGAAUUACUGGGCGUAAAGCGCGCGUAGACGGUUUUGUAAGUCAGAUGUGAAAUCCCUGGGCUCAACCUGGGAACUGCAUUUGAAACUGCAUGGCUAGAGUAUGGAAGAGGGAAGUGGAAUUUCCGGUGUAGCGGUGAAAUGCGUAGAUAUCGGAAGGAACACCAGUGGCGAAAGCGACUUCCUGGUCCAAUACUGACGUUCAUGUGCGAAAGCGUGGGGAGCAAACAGGAUUAGAUACCCUGGUAGUCCACGCCAUAAACGAUGACAACUAGAUGUUGGGAGGGUCUGCCUCUCGGUGUCGCAGCUAACGCGUUAAGUUGUCCGCCUGGGGAGUACGGCCGCAAGGUUGAACUCAAAGGAAUUGACGGGGACCCGCACAAGCGGUGGAGCAUGUGGUUUAAUUCGAUGCAACGCGA
rnacentral:rRNA from 1 species